UACGUAGGGGGCGAGCGUUGUCCGGAUUUAUUGGGCGUAAAGCGUCUGUAGGUGGCUUUUUAAGUCCGCCGUCAAAUCCCAGGGCUCAACUCUGGACAGGCGGUGGAAACUACCAAGCUCGAGUACGGUAGGGGCAGAGGGAAUUUCCGGUGGAGCGGUGAAAUGCGUAGAGAUCGGAAAGAACACCAACGGCGAAAGCACUCUGCUGGGCCGACACUGACACUGAGAGACGAAAGCUAGGGGAGCGAAUGGG
rnacentral:rRNA from 1 species